AUUGAACGCUGGCGGCAGGCCUAACACAUGCAAGUCGAGCGGAUGAAGGGAGCUUGCUCCUGGAUUCAGCGGCGGACGGGUGAGUAAUGCCUAGGAAUCUGCCUGGUAGUGGGGGAUAACGUCCGGAAACGGGCGCUAAUACCGCAUACGUCCUGAGGGAGAAAGUGGGGAUUCUUCGGACCUCCGGCUUUCGGAUAACCCUAGGUCGGAUUAGCUAGUUGGUGGGGUAAAGGCCUACCAAGGCGACGAUCCGUAACUGGUCUGAGAGGAUGAUCAGUCACACUGGAACUGAGACACGGUCCAGACUCCUACGGGAGGCAGCAGUGGGGAAUAUUGGACAAUGGGCGAAAGCCUGAUCCAGCCAUGCCGCGUGUGUGAAGAAGGUCUUCGGAUUGUAAAGCACUUUAAGUUGGGAGGAAGGGCAGUAAGUUAAUACCUUGCUGUUUUGACGUUACCAACAGAAUAAGCACCGGCUAACUUCGUG
rnacentral:rRNA from 1 species